AUACGGAGGGGGCUAGCGUUGUUCGGAAUUACUGGGCGUAAAGCGCGCGUAGGCGGCUUAUCAAGUUAGGCGUGAAAGGCCUGGGCUCAACCCGGGAACUGCGCUUAAUACUGGUAGACUUGAGUCCGGGAGAGGGUGGCGGAAUUCCCAGUGUAGAGGUGAAAUUCGUAGAUAUUGGGAAGAACACCAGUGGCGAAGGCGGCCACCUGGCCCGGUACUGACGCUGAGGUUCGAAAGCAUGGGUAGCGAACAGGAUUAGAAACCCCGGUAGUCC
rnacentral:rRNA from 1 species